UGACACACCACCCCCUUCUCUCCCCCCUUACCUUCUCCUCAUCAGCGACCUCCUUCCCUCCCCCUCGCCCCAGAUCAAAGAAUAGGCCCGGAUGCGACGCGGGCUCAGAUCCAGCACGCCCACAACACUGCUUUUGCUAGAGGACGCCAUGGAAAAGGUGCUCUGGCCCUGGUACUGCAGCCAUGGAGAGGUGCCCUCCCAUCUUUAUGUGCGUGUUUGUUGGAUGGUGAGAAAAGAUAACUGGAUCAAGAGCUACUUCGAUGCCAUCCUCGACAUCGGCAAGUCAGCCGAUGGUGGCGUAUAGGACCAAGGAGAGGAGCAGCGGGCCAGGAGGUCUGACCCUCCCCUAUGCCCCCAUGGCCAUGUGGUCGUUAACAAUCAGAAAUCUCGAGGUCGCGGCAGAAUAUGUUUUGCAAAAUGCAUCAGAUAGAGCCCUCAAAGAUAAGGACAAUAAUGCUCAAGGAUUUGUUGUGGGUUCUGCAACCUAUUUAUCUUCUGCUUUUCAAUUAUAUUUUCUGCCAUUUACUUUUAGACUCAUUCUCAUUCUCUAUCUAAAUAUGUAGGGGCAAUGAAAUCAUAUUUGUUCUCUGGGGUUAUUGUGUGGAUGAAUUUGAUGUUGAGAAUGUCCGUUUUGUUGGCGAAAAGGCCCCAGUUAUUGGGAUAUUUCUUUUUUUUAACACAAUUAUUGGGAUAUUUCUGAGCACACUGCCAAUACACUUUCAAGGUCCUUAUUUUAACCAUGA